rnacentral:lncRNA from 1 species
ACUUCAAACUAAAAAUAUAAAAAAAAAUCAAAUUUAAAAAUUAGUAUAGAAAAUUUAAUAUACAAAAAUUCACAUACAAAUAAAAAUGAUAAAUCUAACGAAUUUAAAUAUAUUAUCCGCGCGUAGCGCGGAGAAAGGAUCUAGUAACAUUAAUAUAGACAAGCAAAGACUCUUUAUGAGACAAACAAAUACUUUUUGUAAACCAAAUAUAAACACAACUGCAAACAAAGCUUAGUUGUACCAUCAAAAUACUACUUUCCCAUCGACGUCUUCAUCAAAACACUACUAACCCCAUCAACAUCUUCAUCAUAACUCUACUUACCCAUUGACACAAUCACUCCAAGAACCACAACAAACCUGACAGUUGAAGAUAUCAGCAAAUUUCAAAAUACCAUGCUCCUCGUUCAGUAUCAACACUUCACGCUUCAGAGACUUACAUUCUUCAGGGUUUAACUUCAGCUUUUCAACAAUUGAGCUUAGAUUUACAAAUUCUCUUUUUUUUUUCUUAUGAG